UGGGGAAUGGAGAGAAAGAAGAAUAGAGGU
rnacentral:piRNA from 1 species